ACCAGUUUGCCACAUUCCUGCACGCCAUUUGGGAUGUGGGACGGGACAGGGCGUUUAUAUAGCAUCGAGCAGGGCCAUCUUAAAGAGGAUGAGCCUCAUUAGCUGAGAUUGUGUAUUAAAUUGCGGGGUACCAAGCCAGUCUCUGCUCCACAAGCAUUGCAUCAAGACUCAUCUUACACUUCAGAAACCUGGCUCCUGCUAUUGCGACCUAUUUCCCAAGAAGAUCACUCACACUUCCUUUUUUUUGCAAAAAAGGAAAAUAAUAUCAACU